rnacentral:rRNA from 1 species
UACGGGGGGGGGCAAGCGUUGUUCGGAAUUACUGGGCGUAAAGCGCGUGUGAGGUGGCGAUGAUGAAGUACGGGUCGUGAAAUCCCUCAGCUUAACUGAGGAAGUGCACUCGAUACUGUGUCGCUUGAGUGUUGGAGGGGAUGGCGGAAUUCCCGGUGAUUAGAGGUGAAAUUCGGUAGAUAUCGGGAGGAACACCUGUGGGCGAAGGCGGCCGAUCUGGA